rnacentral:rRNA from 1 species
UUGAUCUCCCCGUGCAGAAGCGGGGAUAAUACCAUAAGACGAGAAGACCCUAUGGAGCUUUAGACGUCAGAGCAGCCCAUGUAAAGCACCCCUUAACAAAGGAAAAAACCAAAUGAAGCCUGCCCUAAUGUCUUUGGUUGGGGCGACCGCGGGGAAAUACAAAACCCCCAUGUGGAGUAGGAAUACACAUUCCUAAACCCAAGAGCUCCCGCUCUAAUGAACAGAAAUUCUGACCAAUAAGAUCCGGCACACGCCGAUCAACGGACCGAGUUACCCUAGGGAUAACAGCGCAAUCCCCUUAAAGAGCCCUUAUCGACAAGGGGGUUUACGACCUCGAUGUUGGAUCAGGACAUCCUAAUGGUGCAGCCGCUAUUAAGGGUUCGUUUGNUCAACGA